rnacentral:rRNA from 1 species
AACGCGAAGAACCUUACCAGGUCUUGACAUCCUCUGACAACCCUAGAGAUAGGGCUUCCCCUUCGGGGGCAGAGUGACAGGUGGUGCAUGGUUGUCGUCAGCUCGUGUCGUGAGAUGUUGGGUUAAGUCCCGCAACGAGCGCAACCCUUGAUCUUAGUUGCCAGCAUUCAGUUGGGCACUCUAAGGUGACUGCCGGUGACAAACCGGAGGAAGGUGGGGAUGACGUCAAAUCAUCAUGCCCCUUAUGACCUGGGCUACACACGUGCUACAAUGGACAGAACAAAGGGCAGCGAAACCGCGAGGUUAAGCCAAUCCCACAAAUCUGUUCUCAGUUCGGAUCGCAGUCUGCAACUCGACUGCGUGAAGCUGGAAUCGCUAGUAAUCGCGGAUCAGCAUGCCGCGGUGAAUACGUUCCCGGGUCUUGUACACACCG